GAAUAUUGCACAAUGGGCGCAAGCCUGAUGCAGCGACGCCGCGUGGGCGAUGAAGGUCUUCGGAUCGUAAAGCCCUUUUCUGUGUGACGAGACAAAGGACGGUAGCACAGGAAUAAGUCUCGGCUAACUACGUGCCAGCAGCCGCGGUAAAACGUAGGAGGCAAGCGUUAUCCGGAGUUACUGGGCGUAAAGCGCGUGUAGGCGGUUGAGUAGGUCAGAUGUGAAAGCUCCCAGGCUAAACCGGGAGAGGUCAUUUGAAACCGCUCGGCUAGAGUGAGGUAGAGGGAUGUGGAAUUCCGGGUGUAGUGGUGAAAUGCGUAGAUAUCCGGAGGAACACCAGUGGCGAAGGCGGCAUCCUGGGCCUUAACUGACGCUGAGACGCGAAAGCAUGGGGAGCGAGCGGG
rnacentral:rRNA from 1 species